GCUUCAUAGACAGGUCAGCUAAGUCAAUCAACGUCUGUUCAAAUGGCGAAUCAUGAGAGAAUGCCAACAAAAAUGUAAUGACUGACAAGUCUACGCCAGUAGUUUGCAUGGUAUGAGGGUAAUUACAAGAAGUAGAGGAGGGACCAAGCCAGGAUUUGCCAGAAAAGGCAUGCCUCAGGGAUUGAACUGUUGUAACCAAUUAUGAACCUUAGUAAUUGUUCAACUAAACUUUAUUGUAAAUUAGAUAGCUAGGAAUUAUAUCUGAACUACUUUUCAUGGCAAUUCAUCUAAUUAUCUUAGAGUUAAAUUUGACUGGUUAUUUAGUUUUGGUUAUUAAUGAUAAUAUAGUUGGUGGAA